rnacentral:lncRNA from 1 species
AUCACUGCAUCCACCUUCAUGGGCACUAAAUCCCCCACACAACAUACUUCAUGCACCUUGUGGGACACUGCAUCCAAUGCCUGGGUACUGCAUCCAUGUUCUUGGACAAUACAGUGUGCUCUGCAAGCACUGCAGGGACACUGCAUCCUGCUGAACUCGCACUGCAGGCACAGUGCAUUCAGCACAGGCUCAGUAUAUCCACCUCCGUGGGCACUGCAUCUUCCAUCACAUCAUAUGACAUCCACCUUGUGGGACACUGGAACUACUGCAUGGGCACUGCAUCCGCAUUCAGGGAACUGUAGUGGGCACUGCAACCACUGCCAGAUCCCUGCAUCCACCCUCAUGGGCAGUGCAUCCUCCGUCACAACAUAGUGCAUGCGCCCUUUGGGACACUGCAUCCAAUGCCGGGGUACUGCAUCCACGUUCUAGGACAAUGAAGUGGGCACUGCAACCACUGCAGGGACACUGCAUACAGCUGAAGUCGCACUGCAGAUGCAGUGCAUUCAGCACAGGCUCACUGCAUCCACUGCCUGGGCACUGCAUUCAAAUUUCCGGGCAAUGCGUGGUGCACUGCAACCACUGCAGCAACACUGCAUCCAGCUGAAGUGGCACUGCAGGUGCAUUUCCGUCACUGCAGGACCACUGCAUUCACCUUCAUUCACACUGCAUACUACAACACACCACAAUGCCUCCACAUUGUGGGACACUGCAUUCACUGCAUGAGCACUGCAUCCAAAUUCCAGGACAAUGCAGGGGGCAUUGCAACCACUGCAGGUACACAGCAUCCAGCUGAAGUGGCACUGAAGGCGUACUGCAAUCACUGCUGGCUCACUGCAUCCAACUCCCAGGCUCUAAAUCCUCUGUCACAACAUACGGCAACCAACUUUUGGUAGUCUUCAUCCACUGUAUGGGCACUGCAUCCACACUCAGGGACACAGGAUGGGGCACUGCAACCACUGCAGGGACACUGCAGCCAGCUGAAGUGGCACUGCAUGUUCACUGCAAUGACUGCAGGAUCACUGAAUCCUCCUUCAUGAACACUGAAUCCUCCAACACAUCAUAAGGCAUCCACCUUGAGGGACACUGCAUCCACUGCAUGAGCACUGCAUCCACAUUCAGGUAAACUGCAGGGGGCACUGCAACCACUGCCGGAUCACUGCAUCCACCUUCAUGGGCACUGCAUCCUCCGUCACAAAAUAAUACAUAAAACUUUAGGGACACUGCCUCCACUGCACGGGCACUGCAUGCACCUUCAGGGACAUAGAAGGUUCCACUGCAACCACUGCAGCAACACUGCUUCCUGCUGAUGAGGAAAUGCAGGUGCACUGCAAUCACUGCAGGAUGACUGCAUCCACUGCAUGUUCACAGUAUCCACAUUCAGGGAGAGAGCAGGGUGCACUGCAACCACUGCCAGUACACUGCAUCAACUGCAUGGGCACUGCAUUCAACUUCAGCGAAACCUAAGGCAGUACUGCAACCCCUGCAGGGACACUGUUUCCAGCUGAUGUGGAAAGGCAGGCGCAUUGCAAUAACUGCAGGAUCAAUGCAUCCACAGCAUGUUCAGAGCAUGCGCAUUCACGGACACAGCAGGGUGCACUGCAACCACUGCAGGGACACUGCAUCCAGAUGAAGUGGCACUGCAGGUCCACUGCAAUGACUGCAGGAUCACUGAUACAGCUGACGUCGCACUGCAGGCUCAACUGCAUUAAGCACAGUCCCACUGCAUCCACCUCCGUGGCCACUGCAUCUUCCAUCACAACAUACGAUAUGCACCUUGUGGGACACUGCAACUACUUCAUGGGCACUGCAUACACUUUCAGGGAACUAUAGGGGGCCCUGCAACCACUGCAGCAGCCCUGCAUCCACCUUCAUGGGCCCUGCAUCCACCAUCACAGCAUACUGCAUCCACCUUGUGGGAAACUGCAUCCAAUGCCUGGGCACUGCAUCCACGUUCUCGGACAAUGCAGUCGGCACUGCAACCACUGCAGGGACACUGCAUACAGCUGAAGUCGCACUGCAGGUGCACUGCAUUCAGCACAGGCUCACUGCAUCCACCUCUGUGGGCACUGCCUCUUCCAUCACAACAUACGACAUCCACCUUGUGGGAAACUGCAACUACUGCAUGGGCACUGCAUCCACAUUGAGGGAACUGUAGGGGGCACUGCAACCACUGCAGCAUCACUGCAUCCACCUUCAUGGGCCCUGCAUCCUCCAUCUCAACAUAUUUCAUCCACCUUGUGGUACACUGAAUCCACUGCAUGACUACUGCAUCCACAUUCCCAGACAAUGCGGGUGGCAGGCAAGCACUGCACGGACACUGCAUCCACCUUCAUGACAACUGCAUCAUCCGUCAUAACAUACUGCAUCCACCUUGUGGGACACUGCAUCCACUGCCUGGGCACUGCAUCCACAUUCCCGGACAAUGCAGGGGGCACUGCAACCUCUGCAGCAACACUGCAUCCAGCUGAAGUGGCACUGCAGGCACACUGCCAUCACUGCAGAAUCACUGCAUUCACCUUCAUAGGCAGUGCAUACUACAACACACCCUAAGGCCUCCACAUUGAGGGACACUGCAUGCACUCCAUGGGCACUGCAACCACAUUCAUGGAAACUGUAGGGCGCACUGCUACCACUGCAGGUUGACUGCAUCCACCUUCAUGGGAACUGAAUCCUCUGACAAAACAUACUUCAUCCGCCUUGUGAGACACUGCAUCCACUUCAUGAUCACUGCAUCCACAAUCCUGGACAAUGUGGGGGCUAUGUAAACACUGCAGGGACACUGUAUCCACCUUCAUGAGAAUUGCAUCAUCCGUCAUAACAUACUGCAUCCACCUUGAGUGACACUGCAUCCACUGCCUGGGAACUUCAUCCACAAUGCCAGAAACUGCAGGGGGCACUGCAAUCACUGCAGCAACACUGCAUCCAGCUGAAGUGGCACUGCAGGUGCACAGCCAUCACUGCAGUAUCACUGCAACCUCCUUCAUGAUCACUCAAUCAUCCAUCAGAACAUAAGGCAUCC